AAACUUUCAACAAAGGAUCUCUUGGCUCUCGCAUCGAUGAAGAACGUAGUGAAGCGCGAAAUGUAGUGUGAAUCGCAGAACAUUGUGAAUCAUCGAAUCUUUGAACGCACAUUGCGCCUCUCCCCACGGGAGGCAUGCCUGUCUGAGCGUCAUUA
rnacentral:rRNA from 1 species